AAGAAUCACCUUGUGAUUGCACAAUUGCCUUGGAAGCCAUGGAAUGCCACACAAACAGUCGUAGGGACCCAAGUAGGUGCAUCUUAGCACAGCCACCCAGAACGAUACAAAGUCAAGGACCUGACUUUGCUGGUAAGACAUUUUAACCCACCUCCAUAGGGAAUCUACAUCCCAUCUUCUAGCACAGACUACAGCUUGCUGAUAGCCCAUGAGUCAAAAUAUGGAGGGGAUACUCCUCCAAACAAGUGAAGGUUUCUUACUUAUAAAGCUCAUUACACAACUAUUCAAAAUUCACUCUACUUUCCUCUUGCUUGAAAUGCUAAUAACACGUCAGUCCCGAGGCAGCUGUCAGUAGAUGGAAACAAAAGGAGAAAAGGCACCAUGUGCCUCCUGGUGACUGCAAGAAAACUCUCAGGAAUGGCAAGCAGAAAGGGAUGCUGCAAUAGAUUCUGAUACGAGGAGAUUUCACCAUCCAAGCUGCAUAAUUUGGGGCAACAUGGGACUGUUAACACACAUCGUUGAUCUCAGUGGUCUCCAUUUACAGAUCCCUGUUUUUCCCCAUAAGAAAUCACAAUAUAAGUGGGAAAAAUUCAGUACAAAACAUUCAGCAAACCAAAUGCACAAACUAAGGAUGGAUGACAAAUCUAAACACCAUUUGCAUAACUUACCUUUUUAUAAUUCUUCCUACUGGAAUACCUACUAGCUUUUCAGUUCUUUGUAAUCUGAUUUUAUUUUAUCCAGCCAGUCCUAAAAUGACAUUGUUUGGGUGUACACUCCAAAUACAUUUCAUACCCCCACUAUUUCAUUCCUUAGGCACAAAUACAGUAGCUCAGAUGUAUUUAUACUGUCUAACCAUCUGAAUGGACCCUCUGGGGCUUAGCACAGGAUAAAGAAAGGACUGUGAGGGGUGGAGAGAGGGAGUGAGGGAAGGACAGCAUGUUUAGACCUGUGGUUGGACAGCACCAGCGGUUAAAAUGACCAGAAUAUGAAGGAAGCAGGUAUGGGAGGAGAAAGAAGGAAGAUGGAGAGGUAUCUGAGAUCAACAACUAUGGAUGAAAGAAGAAGGGCAGAAUAUGAUGUUUCUCAGUAUUUGUUUUCCAAGCAUUAUUCACAGUUCAAAGCAAAGCUGAAUUCCAUGCAAUCCAUAAGUAAUCCAAGGAGGUUACCUCUAUUAAAAACCACUGAAACAAAAAUACUGCAAAGACCUAGACAUUUGAAAAGCAAAAAUGGUGUCUGCAGUGAAAUAGCUGGCCAAAUCUUUAUUAUGGAAUUAAACACAUAUUUCAAAAUAGAAAAAAAAGAUGUGGACUUGAAGCUUCCAUACAGUUGAAUUAUCACAUAAUUAUCCACAAUAUACAUCACACUGAAACAAAUUACUCCUAGGAUAAAGAAAACUAUGAUAGCUGGACCACACACAUUUCAGUGAUACAAGUUAGUAAAAUAGCCUUAUUAGUUUAUGCUGAAGAUUCAUGUAAUAAAUAUCAGUGUCUUCCCUGCUAAGAUGUUAUUCCUCCUAAACACAACAACAAAAAAAAUCAGGUAUUUUCUAGUCAGAUGCUGCAUUUGGGUCAUCAUUGUUCCUGGUCUCUGAUGAACAUGAACUCGUACUCCAUGAAUCUGUUUACACUUUUGGCUUUCUCUAUGUCCUCAGGCAACAGGUUUUGCCAUUUGUUUCGUAUGAGAAGUCCUUUCUUUUUUGAAGCUGGUAAACACUCAGAAACACCUGAUGAAACUGCAAAUAAUCCUUUCCAUCCUACCAUGAAUUUCCUGUUCAUCUACCACAGCCCUCUUCCAUCCCUUCUUUCAAAAGAGUCUAGACUCAGUGACUUCUCCUACAGAGCUGUUUCUCAUCUC